UACGGAGGGUGCAAGCGUUAUCCGGAUUCACUGGGUUUAAAGGGUGCGUAGGAGGGUCUGUAAGUCAGCGGUGAAAUCUCCGGGCUUAACCCGGAAACUGCCAUUGAUACUAUCAGUCUUGAAUACCGUGGAGGUAAGCGGAAUAUGUCAUGUAGCGGUGAAAUGCUUAGAUAUGACAUAGAACACCGAUUGCGAAGGCAGCUUGCUACACGAUCAUUGACACUGAGGCACGAAAGCGUGGGGAUCAAACAGG
rnacentral:rRNA from 1 species